UCUGCCUCCCACUUCCCAAACAACUCACUUACACUCUCCCUUUUUUUCUCCAAUAGAGUUCUGCUAGGGUUUGAGCAAGUUUCCCCUACAAGCUAGACAAAAGCAUCUCCAACUUCUUAAGCUACUAUGGAUAUUGGUGCUCCUCCGCUAAGAGUCUUUUUCGUAGCUUUCAGUCUAAAAGAUGUGGAAACGCCUAGUGGUCACCAAGGUGAUGGAAACUCUGCAGUGUAGCCAAGCUUGGGUUGGAUCUCAUUCCUUCGAGUACUCUCUGAAGGCACUAUUGCCUAUGUAAUAUCUUGCUCUAUGAGCAAGCUUUUUGGGCAACUAUCAAAAAUCUUAAAUCUUGUUUUGUUCAUGGCAUCAUGGUGUGCCUUAGUUUUCUUUUCUAAGUAUA